GGCAGGUUCUUCCUACUUGCUGUCUCAAAGGUUGAUUUCAUAGACCUUAAAAUGGAUAUGAUCGUGGAGGCUAAGCACCAAACAACUUUAGCUUAUUAAAGUGGUUUCUGAGUACAUGCUCCUGCAAUCACACUGCCAUUUAAGAGUUAAUUCCCUUUAUAUAGCCCUGCAUAUACACCUGCCCUGACUCUUACAGCCUCCCUAAAUAGGUUUAGCUUAGAAACUUCCCAUAUUGCAGUGUGUUUUAAUUUAAAUGCAUCUCCUGCUUUGGAACUGCUUGUCAUUGAUUUGUAUGUGAUUAAAGUUCAGUUAACGGGGCUUGGCGGGACCGGUCGCAUUUAUGUGAAGCUCCCGCAGCCCAGGUCUUUAGGGGCACAAAUAACCGGCACUACUAGCCGCCCAACGGCAGCAAUCAGAAUACUCACCCCACCAUGGCACAUAGAAGCAAAGGGAAGACCCCCAGAACGGAGAAAGCCUCUUUUUUCCCUCACACAAGCUCCGGCAGGAAAAAACUGGGAAGACCAGGCCCAAGAUGGCGGCUACCAGCGCUCAGGCGAGGUUUCACCAUCCCCUCCACCCUCACCGAGCUCAGCCUCAGAGGAAGGCCCCCUCACAGUUGCAGGGAUGAGAACCCUGAUGGCAGAGCUCUCUGACAAACUGCAGGCAAGCAUUAAAGUGCAGAUGCAUGAGCUCACCACAGAUCUCAGAAAGGAGCUGUUAGAGAUUGGGAGCAGG